UGGAUCCAGACUUUGAUCAUGGCUCAGGACGAACGCUGGCGGCGCGCCUAACACAUGCAAGUCGAACGAGAGAUGAGGAGCUUGCUCUUCAAAUCGAGUGGCGAACGGGUGAGUAACGCGUGAGGAACCUGCCUCAAAGAGGGGGACAACGGUUGGAAACGACUGCUAAUACCGCAUAAGCCCACGGCUCGGCAUCGAGCAGAGGGAAAAGGAGUGAUCCGCUUUGAGAUGGCCUCGCGUCCGAUUAGCUGGUUGGUGAGGUAACGGCCCACCAAGGCGACGAUCGGUAGCCGGACUGAGAGGUUGAACGGCCACAUUGGGACUGAGACACGGCCCAGACUCCUACGGGAGGCAGCAGUGGGGAAUAUUGCACAAUGGGGGAAACCCUGAUGCAGCGACGCCGCGUGGAGGAAGAAGGUCUUCGGAUUGUAAACUCCUGUUGUUGAGGAAGAUAAUGACGGUACUCAACAAGGAAGUGACGGCUAACUACGUGCCAGCAGCCGCGGUAAAACGUAGGUCACAAGCGUUGUCCGGAAUUACUGGGUGUAAAGGGAGCGCAGGCGGGAGAACAAGUUGGAAGUGAAAUCCAUGGGCUCAACCCAUGAACUGCUUUCAAAACUGUUUUUCUUGAGUAGUGCAGAGGUAGGCGGAAUUCCCGGUGUAGCGGUGGAAUGCGUAGAUAUCGGGAGGAACACCAGUGGCGAAGGCGGCCUACUGGGCACCAACUGACGCUGAGGCUCGAAAGUGUGGGUAGCAAACAGGAUUAGAUACCCUGGUAGUCCACACCGUAAACGAUGAUUACUAGGUGUUCGAGGAUUGACCCCUUCAGUGCCGCAGUUAACACAAUAAGUAAUCCACCUGGGGAGUACGACCGCAAGGUUGCAACUCAAAGGAAUUGACGGA
rnacentral:rRNA from 1 species